CCCCCCCCCCCCAAAAUCCCCUAAAUGUAAUUUUUUUAACUUGAGAUUUUAAGACUUUUCCUAGAUUGGCCCAGACAAUAGAAAAAGUUCAGUGUUGCUUUUAGUCUCAUUUCCAUGUAAGCUGUACAAAAAAAGGUACAAAGAUGGUCUUCAGGUCAAAAUGACCCGUGAGGCAAAUGGAGUUGAAAUCAAGGUCACAGAGUUAUUUACAAACCAUAAAAUGUUACAAAGUUUUAGUUGUGUCUCAGAUCAAUCAGUAGCAGAAGUAAGCAGAGAGUGGAAGGCCAAUUUUCCGAGCCACAAUGCCACUCAAACUCUUUCACACCUACUCAAGACUGAUGCGAUUUGAUGACCGUGAAUCAAGACCAGCAAGAUGUAUGACAGACAAACUUGCAGCCAUAAGAGAGGUAUGGGACAAGUGGGUGGAGCGGUUACCCUACCUCUACAAUCCAGAGCCUGAUGUAACAGUGGAUGAGCAACUGGUUCCAUUUAGAGGUUGUUGUCCUUUCCAGCAGUAUAUGCCCAGCAAGCCAGCAAAAUAUGGGAUCAAGUCAUGGGUGGCUUCCGAAUCAAGCUAUGCUUGGAAAAUGCAAGUCUAUACUGGGAAGUCAACCAGUGGAUGCCCAGAGAAGAACCAGGGGUUGCGAGUUGUGCUUGAUGUGACAGAGGGACUGAGGGGUCACAAUGUGACAUGUGACAAUUUCUUCAACUCUUAUGAACUCGGACAGCAGCUCCUGAAGAGGAAGAUCACCAUGGUUGGUACAGUUCGAAAGAACAAGCCUGAGCUCCCACCUGCACUGCUUGGGUCAAAGGAGAGAGAGGUCUUCUCCUCAAAGUUUGCCUUCACACCCACCACCACUCUAGUUUCCUACCUCCCAAAGAAAAACAAGAAUGUAGUUCUUCUGAGCACACUGCACAAAGACGGCGACACUAGUGACCGUGAGGACAGGAAGCCAAUCAUUAUCCUGGAAUUCAACCGAAACAAAGGAGGUGUGGACAACCUAGAUAAGGUGAUUGGAGCAUAUAGCUGCAGAAGAAUGACUGCCCGCUGGCCCCUGGUCAUCUUCCACAACAUCAUUGAUGUGUCCUCCUACGAUUGCCUUUGUGAUUUGGAUAGAGAUCAACCCAACCUGGAUGUCUCAUAAGCACAACAAGAGGAGGGUGUUCCUGGAGCAGCUAGGAAAGGCACUUGUAACUCCACUCAUUGAAAGAAGGAAGCAUGUCCCCCGCACAGAAGCCUCAGCAGCAGUUGUGAAAGCUAUUCAGAGUGCAGCAGCUCCUGAUCAACCUGAGGAUCCAUCUACCACAGCCACUUCCCCAGCUAAGCCAACUAUAGAAAUUCAAGUGGAGAGGGAAAACUCAAGUAUUCACACAUUUUGUGACCAGAGGAUCACACCUGUUGACAACAAACAAAGGUUUAACUACUGAAUUUUCAGUCAGAAAUGAUCGCACCACCUGGUUGAAGUACCUGUGUCCAUAUGCAAGUCAACAAAGCAGAGAGGAAACACCCGAUUGACAACAUGCGAGUCUCAAUUUCAACCUGUGACUGGGAAGACUACAACCAUCCUGAGCAACGUCUGAUCUCAGCGACUUGUGACUCUCAACCCAGAACAAGAAUCCUUUUAUCACCAUUUUGUCUUCUACAAUAUGUUAUCUCUUAUGUGGACACAUACUGUUUGUUUUGUUUCUGUUUUCCAGAUCUCAGUAAUACCGUGAGGAAACUGGACAGAAAAUAGAAUCAGUUCUUUUUUUAACUUGACUUUUUAAAUAGAAAUUGUUUCUUUAAGUGGAUUACUCGUAAUCUGUAUUUUUGUUUAAUUAGAAAUUAUUUUCUUUAUAACUUUCUGUAUAGAAAUGCUUGACAAGUUACACUUCCUUGUGUGUUGUACUAUAAUUUGUAUGGUAAAAUUCUGGUAGGAACAGAGACCAGUAAUUUACCAUAAGUUUUUUUUGGGGGGGAGGGUUUACAAUAAAAUGUCAAUAUAUCAUCCAGUCUGGAUGUGUUUUUCACUCAUGGAGAUAUUAUGCCUCAGUCAGCAUGACCGUAUUUACUACGGCAAAACCACAUUUUAUUUUUUUUUAAAUAUUUUAGGAAGUACGGUAUUUUACCGUAUUUUAAAAAUACGGUAGAAUCCUGCAUUUACAAAAUACGGUAAUAAACUGGCAGCUGUGGUUGCCAGAAUUUUACCGUAUAUUAAAAAUACGGUAAAAUCCUGCAUUUAGCAAAUACGGUAAAAAACUGGCAGC